CCUUCUCUGAACCAUUUUCAACAAUUCAAUGUCCUUCCUAAGGCAACAUCUUGUCAGUUGAAUAUCCACUUGAUUCAUUUGGGUGAGAUCUUGUAAGAAGAAUCUACAGCUGCUUCAUAUAGGGACAUCUUGUAAGCUUUGGAACAUGAUGGUCCCUUUAGAGGUGUGAGCACAUCUGACACCAUCUUCUAUUUAAAGGUAAUGACACAUCCUCUGAUGGAAAAGGUCAAUGGACCCAUUAUUCUUCAGGCUUCAUCUUCUCCUUUAGGGUGGUUUCAGAAGUUGCAAAGGCUGUUGUGCAGCCUGAAGCCAUUGUUUGGUCGUUGUUUGCAGGAACCUGCUCUCCUCAGCACUGAUGAGACUCUUUGCUGUUGACGGUGGUAAUACAGCCCCUGGAAACUGCAAUGCUAACCAGACUAUAGAUGAUAGGAGCUCUCUCAUGUCAAAUGAUUGACUAACAAUGCAUCUUCGUCCAUGAGCUUGGGUGCCAUGUAAGUCAGGCCAGGCUUGAAUGUUCCAUUUUCAGUGACAUUGUGGGCUCUCUUGCUCAAUAAGAAGUCCUAAAUGUCCUGCAGGAGCUUGGCAGUUUCAUAGCUGAAAGAACUUGAAGAGUCCAUCUCAGUAAUCAAACAGGGAAGGCUUAUAAUAGCAGGAACAAGAAAGGAAAACCACUAUAGCUAAAAACCAGACUUUAAAUAUUUAAAAUAUGAAUUCAAACGAAAAAGUUGAUUGAGUUCAAGUUGACUAAAAGGUUCAACCAAGUGUAUAGGUUCAGCAAUGUGUCUAUAAGCUUAAUGUACACUCACACUCAUCCUCGCCCAUAAAACAUUUGCUCAAGAAACAUGAGGACUUCCUGAUCCCCUAACU